AGCUGAAGAUCUGGUUCUCGGAGCGGGACCUGGAGCGCACCUUUUCCUACCCCUCGGAGGGGGCGUUGCUGGCAGCCUGGGGACCCCCCCCGGAAGAACCCCAAAACCCCCCCCCGGGACCCCCCACAGCCCCCGAUGAGGAUGAGGAAGAGGAGGAGCCCCCCCCGGGGAGGGGGCUGCAGGGGGGGCUGCGGGCACGAGCUCUGCUAGUGGAUGAAUCCUGUCGCCGGUGACCCUGACCAAUGGGAGGGGGGGGCACAGCAGAGCAGAUUCCCCCCCCCCCCCCCAAACACCCCCCGGGGGGGGGGGGGGGGCGCAUUUUUACACCUCCUUUUGCAACGUUUUGUAGCUUUUUUUUUUUAAGCAGCCAUUUUUUUUCCUUAAUGAGGUUUCUAGGCCCUAACGAAGGGCUUUUUAUAGGG
rnacentral:lncRNA from 1 species